rnacentral:rRNA from 1 species
UACGAAGGGAGCUAGCGUUGUUCGGAAUCACUGGGCGUAAAGCGCACGUAGGCGGAUUUGUAAGUCAGGGGUGAAAUCCCGGGGCUCAACCUCGGAACUGCCUUUGAUACUGCAAAUCUCGAGUCCGAUAGAGGUGGGUGGAAUUCCUAGUGUAGAGGUGAAAUUCGUAGAUAUUAGGAAGAACACCGGUGGCGAAGGCGGCCCAAGCUGGAUCGGUACUGACGCUGAGGUGCGAAAGCGUGGGGAGCAAACAGG